GUUAAAAAGCUCGUAGUUGGAUCUCGGCGGGCAGGGGGUGGUUCGCUCUUCAGCGCUACUGCCCCGCUUUGCCCGUGUGAUUGGCGGAGGUUUCGGGGUGCUCUUCGUUGAGUGACUCGGAGCGCCGUCAGGUUUACUUUGAAAAAAUUAGAGUGCUCAAAGCAGGCUUUUCACGCUUGAAUAUUCGUGCAUGGAAUAAUGGAAUAGGAACUCGUUUCUAUUUUGUUGGUUUUCGGAAAUCGAGUUAAUGAUUAACAGGGACAAUUGGGGGCAUUAGUAUUCAGACGACAGAGGUGAAAUUCUUGGACCGUCUGAAGACUGACUACUGCGAAAGCAUUUGCCAAGAGUGUUUUCAUUAAUCAAGAACGAAAGUUAGAGGUUCGAAGGCGAUCAGAUACCGCCCUAGUUCUAACCAUAAACGAUGCCAGCUAGCGAUCUGCCGAGUUUUUUUUGCAGGCUCCGCAGGAAGCUUUCGGGAAACCAAAGCUUUUGGGUUCCGGGGGAAGUAUGGUUGCAAAGCUGAAACUUAAAGGAAUUGACGGAAGGGCACCACCAGGAGUGGAGCCUGCGGCUUAAUUUGACUCAACACGGGAAAUCUCACCAGGCCCGGACACUGGAAGGAUUGACAGAUUGAGAGCUCUUUCUCGAUUCGGUGGGUGGUGGUGCAUGGCCGUUCUUAGUUGGUGGAGUGAUUUGUCUGGUUAAUUCCGAUAACGAACGAGACUCUGUCCUGCUAAAUAGUUGGGUCGUCCUUCGUGCGAUCCAAGUUCUUCUUAGAGGGACUGGCUGCGUCUAGCAGCACGAGAUUGAGCAAUAACAGGUCUGUGAUGCCCUUAGAUG
rnacentral:rRNA from 1 species